GGAAGGGUGGCUGAGUGGUCUAAAGCGCAGCACUCGAAAUGCUGUGAGGGCGCAAGCUCUCCGUGGGUUCGAAUCCCACCCCUUCCG
rnacentral:tRNA from 1 species